CAUGGUGUUGCGGAGAAUCCCAGAGAUCUGAAUCCCAGGAGAAGUCAGCCCAUCCUGCUGUUCGUGGGAAUCUAUAAAGGAGGUACACAAAGCUCCAGUUGCCCCUGAUUUGAGAGAUGUCUCCAGAGCAGCACUUGUUCCUGGAAAAGUUUGAUAGCCUGUGCCCAAGACGCUCUCCAACUUACUCACUUGGAAGGACUCCAGCUCUCCAUUUAUUCUUUACUGGCCCUGAGCAGUAGAGUAGGCUAAACAAAAACCCACACUUAAGCUGAAGAUGCUCAACUUUAACACAUGACUGCUACUUUCAAGUUCCAGCGAUUCUCCUCCUACAGCCUCCCGAGUAGCUGGGAUCACAGGUGGGGUUGGUGGCUGAUGCGUUCUCCAAGUCCCCAUGAAAACUGAACUCUGAACUUAGGUAGGCGGACCAGCUUUUCAGAGAGACCACCCAGGACACAGCCGCAGCAGCAGGACAACAACUUUAUAUAUAUAGUGUACACAUGCUUGUCAUAUUCAUAUAUAUAGAUAGUAUGUCCAUACUACAUAUGUAUAUAUUUGUUUAUAUGAUAGACAUGUUAAUCACCUUAAGAUAUGAAAACUAUGUGCUUAUUUGAAGUCAUAUACGAUUCCAUAUUAUUUACUUUUCUGUUACAUAAAUGUUACUAAUU